CACUGCAUCUGUGUAUAAUAUUAGGUUCUGAGCCUGCAUCCGUUAUAUAUAUAUAUAUAUAUAUAAAUUUCGAAACUAAAAUUCUUCAAUGAUGGUUCUAUGACUAGCAUAUCAGUGUAUUGGUUCAUGGAUAAUAUAAAAGGGAAUAAUCAGUGUUUGUUUGCUUAACCUCCCAAAACAAAACAAAAACCCAAAAAAAAAAACAAAACAAUGGGGGCAUACCUCCGAGAACAAAAAAACACAUGGGCCAACUAAAAACUAGCUAGAAAUCCCAACCAAAAAUGAAAAAGCAACCAAGGCGGGAAAAUCAUCAGGGCAGUUUCAACCUGCCCAAACUUGGCCUAAUAUCAUUUUCAUAUUUGAAAUCAAUCAGACUUUGACCCAACGUCUAAUUUCCCAAUUCAGAUUUUUCAAUUGUGAGAGUUUUGGACAGGCACUGGAAGGACUUCGGGCUGAGUUUUAGUGGUAUCUGCCAUCUUGUACUUGGAAGCCAAUCAUUCUUAGUGGUAGCUUGUCGACAAACUUGGUGCUUUAGGCAGACUACGAUGAAUUUUUGCCCCAUACCAGUACCAAACAAUGCUAAGAAAUUAUGAAUGUGAAGUUCACGAUCGCAUUGAAUCCUCCAUUCGCCGAGAGGAGAGAGGGGUUCAAAUUGACUUAGAUACUUUUGUUUGCUAGAACUAAAAUUGUAAGAACACUAAAAUGAUGUUGCAGAAUGAUAAUUCUGAUUAGAUGGUUGCUGAGUUACCUUUUU